rnacentral:rRNA from 1 species
AGCGAAAGCUAGUUGUAUUAUUAGUUAAUGCAAGAUCGACUACGUCGACUAAAGUUCUAGGUAGAAUAAUGAUGAUGACAAUUUUUUACCUAUAUGUCUUGACCAAGUCUCGUGCCAGCAGUCGCGGUAAUACGUGGAAGACUAGUGUUAUUCAUCUUUAUUAGGUUUAAAGGGUACCUAGACGGUAUUUCUAGCCCAAAAUAGGGUACGGAUUUACUAGAGUUUUAUGUGAGGAGGGGAGUACUCAUGGAGUAGAGAUGAAAUUUUGUUAUACUAUGAGGUAACUGGUGGCGGCGAAAGCAACCUUCUAUGUAUAAACUGACGUUGAGGGACGAAGGCUUGGGUAGCAAAUAGGAUUAGAUACCCUAGUAGUCCAAGCAGACAAUUCUGAAUGCCAUAGAUUAGAUUAUUUUUGGUCUAUAAAUGAAAGUGUAAGCAUUCCACCUUAGGAGUAAUGUGGCAACACAGGAACUGAAAUCAUUAGACCGUUUCUGAAACCAGUAGUGAAGUAUGUUAUUUAAAUUGAUGGUCCACAAAAAACCUUACCACAACUUGAAUAUUUUUUUAAUUAAUACAAGCGUUGCACGGCUGUCUUCAGUUAAUGUCGUGAGAUUUUGGUUAACUCCAUUAAUUAACGUAAACCCUUACUUUA